rnacentral:rRNA from 1 species
AGUGGGGAAUAUUGCGCAAUGGACGAAAGUCUGACGCAGCAACGCCGCGUGAGGGAUGACGGCCUUCGGGUUGUAAACCUCUUUCAGCAGGGACGAAGCGAGAGUGACGGUACCUGCAGAAGAAGGACCGGCCAACUACGUGCCAGCAGCCGCGGUAAUACGUAGGGUCCGAGCGUUGUCCGGAAUUAUUGGGCGUAAAGGGCUCGUAGGCGGUUCGUCACGUCGGGAGUGAAAACUCGGAGCUUAACUCCGAGCCUGCUUCCGAUACGGGCAGACUAGAGGUAGGCAGGGGAGAGCGGAACUCCUGGUGUAGCGGUGGAAUGCGCAGAUAUCAGGAAGAACACCGGUGGCGAAGGCGGCUCUCUGGGCCUUACCUGACGCUGAGGAGCGAAAGCGUGGGUAGCGAA